rnacentral:rRNA from 1 species
AUUGAACGCUGGCGGCAGGCCUAACACAUGCAAGUCGAGCGAGCGGCGGACGGGUGAGUAAUGUCUGGGAAACUGCCUGAUGGAGGGGGAUCACUACGGGAAACGGUAGCUAAUAACGCACACACUCAGAUGUCCCCAGAUGGGAUUAGCUAGUAGGUUGGGUAACGGCCAACCUAUGCGACGCUCCCUAGCUGGUCUGAGAGGAUGACCAGCCACACUGGAACUGAGACACGUUCCAGACUCCUACGGGAGGCAGCAGGGGGGAAUAUUGCACAAUGGGCGCAAGCCUGAUGCAGCCAUGCCGCGUGUGUGAAGAAGGCCUUCGGGUUGUAAAGCACUUUCAGCGGGGAGGCGUUACCCGCAUAAGAAGCACCGGCUAACUCCGUGCCAGCAGCCGCGGUAAUUC